GACGAACGCUGGCGGCGUGCUUAACACAUGCAAGUCGAACGGAAAGGCCCUGCUUUUGUUGGGUGCUCGAGUGGCGAACGGGUGAGUAUCACGCGAGUAACCUGCCCUUGACUUUGGGAUAACUUCAGGAAACUGGGGCUAAUACCGGAUAGGAGCUCCUGCUGCAUGGUGGUGGUUGGAAAGUUUCGGCGGUUGGGGAUGGACUCGCGGCUUAUCAGCUUGUUGGUGGGGUAGUGGCUUACCAAGGCUGUGACGGGUAGCCGGCCUGAGAGGGGGACCGGCCACAUUGGGACUGAGAUAGGGACCAGACGGCUACGGGAGGCAGCAGGCGGGAGUAUGACACAAUGGGCGGAAGCCUGAGGCAGCAACGCCGCGUGCGGAAUGACGGCCUUUGGGGUGUAAACCGCUGUCGCCGGUGACGAAGCGUGAGUGACGGUAAUGAGUAAAGAAGCACCGGCUAACUACGUG
rnacentral:rRNA from 1 species